GGAAAUGGAAUCACUAGUUCCUCCUAUUUAGAUUGAUGCAGAUUGAAAUUCUACCAGACUCCUGCCUCUCUAGGUAAACUGUAAAUCCACUUUUGUCUUCCAAUAUUCUCUAUUACAUGAUUUUUACUCUAUUAAUUCUGAACUGCUUGCAAUUCAAAGCUUGCUGAUGUUGAUUGGACCAAAGUGAUGGAGAAUCUAGUUUGGAGUCUGGUAAUCCUUGGGAGGCCCCAGCAUCACUGCAGCUCAACUGUCAUUCCUGCCUUGCAGCUCAUUUAACUGCCUCUGGCAGCACUAUUUCUGGCUGGGCCAUCUAUUUUUGGUGGCCAGGGAAGUUGUUAUUUGUUUCAUUUUGUUUUGAUAUGGUUUACAGUGCUCUAGUGUGAUGAUGAAGAUAACAUCUGGUUAUUCCAGGAUUGGGGGUGUUGUGGGUGUCAGGUUGCCGUGUGCAUCUCAGGUAUGUGUGUUUUUGUUUGUUAAAGCUUUUUUUUUCUUUUCCAAGUUUCCACAUGCAGCGCUGAUGUUUGUUAAAGCUGCAAGAAAACAAAUAAGUAAAACGAAACCUAAGCAAUACA
rnacentral:lncRNA from 1 species